GUUGAGUAAUUAACUCUUAUAAAUCUCAUAUAAUUUUCUUGACUUUAUUUCCUUGUCGGUUUCCUUUCCUUUCAAUUGUAUUUCCCAAUUUCCACACAAAGCCCAAGUAUUUGUUAUCAUGAGCUUUAUUAAUUAAACACAAAAUUUAUGUAGUUUUUGAGUUCUAAGUGUAUGGUGUACUCAGUAGUUAUUCUUAGGUCAAAAGGUCAGAAGCCCCGUCCCAUGCAACUACUUUGUGGAUAUUUUUAAACUAAUCUUUUCCGAUAAUUUAAAUGCAGGAUGAAAUUGAUGGAUCCAAUGAAUAUAAUAAUUUUCAGCGUGGCUCCCUUAACACUACCAAGCAGCUUAUCCAAGACUUGAAGGACAUUGACAUAGUCUAAGACAAUAUCAUUUGACUAUGCUAUUUUGGGUUCAAUUCUUAAUAUUCCUAGCACUAGGUUAUGUCCUUUCACUCCUAAGAUACUUUGAGUCUCAAGCCUAUUCUUCAUUCAUAUAAUUGAAUCCAAUAUGUUAUUUAAGCUUCUCUGGUUUUAUAUCAUGCAUGGAGUUCAUAAUAUUUUAUGAAUAAGCCAGGGUUUCUACCCAGUUGCUUGCCUCUAUAAAAUGCUUCUUAUUCAAUUUUACAUAGCUGUAUAACAUUCCAGAGUCUUACAAUAGAUCAAUGAUCUUUUUUUUUCUUUUUUGAAUAUUAGUGAUGUCUUGCAGUAUUGUUUAUCAAGCUAGUCCUCAAAAUUUACUUUCUUCUUCUGAUUGCAAAUUACUGCCAGGUGCACCUUUUUUCUGCCGCCUUCAAUGAUGCGGUAAAGGCAUUUGUUGAGAAAUUACCAUUCUCAUCACUAUGUCAAAAGCAAGUGGUACUCUAGGUGAGUAUGGAAAAUGUUAUUACUAAGUAUUAAGUAUUAACACUACUACACUAGUGUCUCUUUUAAAGCAGGUUCAAUAAACAGAAUAUAAAAUAUACAUUAUGUCAAAAAUAGGUACAAAAGAAUGAUACAGUGCAGGUGAAGUUGAUAUCAGGAGUAGACAACAAGAAGGAAAUAUAUUCUUAAACUGAUAGAAGGUGUUGUUCGCUAAUGUUACAAUGUCA
rnacentral:lncRNA from 1 species